rnacentral:rRNA from 1 species
UGGGGAAUAUUGGACAAUGGGCGAAAGCCUGAUCCAGCCAUGCCGCGUGUGUGAAGAAGGCCUUAUGGUUGUAAAGUUCUUUCGGUAUUGAGGAAGGUUGAUGUGUUAAUAGCACAUCAAAUUGACGUUAAAUACAGAAGAAGCACCGGCUAACUCCGUGCCAGCAGCCGCGGUAAUACGGAGGGUGCGAGCGUUAAUCGGAAUAACUGGGCGUAAAGGGCACGCAGGCGGUUAUUUAAGUGAGGUGUGAAAGCCCCGGGCUUAACCUGGGAAUUGCAUUUCAGACUGGGUAACUAGAGUACUUUAGGGAGGGGUAGAAUUCCACGUGUAGCGGUGAAAUGCGUAGAGAUGUGGAGGAAUACCGAAGGCGAAGGCAGCCCCUUGGGAAUGUACUGACGCUCAUGUGCGAAAGCGUGGGGAGCAAACAGGAUUAGAUACCCUGGUAGUCCACGCUGUAAACGCUGUUGAUUUGGGGGUUGGGGUUUAACUCUGGCGCCCGUAGCUAACGUGAUAAAUCGACCGCCUGGGGAGUACGGCCGCAAGGUUA